rnacentral:rRNA from 1 species
UGGGGAAUCUUCCGCAAUGGACGAAAGUCUGACGGAGCAACGCCGCGUGAGUGAAGAAGGUUUUCGGAUCGUAAAACUCNGUCUUUUGGGGCGAACGUGAGUAUGGUGAACAAUCAUAGUCAGUGACGGUACCAAAGGAGGAAGCCACGGCUAACUACGUGCCAGCAGCCGCGGUAAUCGUAGGUGGCAAGCGUUGUCCGGAAUUAUUGGGCGUAAAGAGCGCGUAGGCGGGAUAGUCAGUCUGUUGUAAAAGUGCGGGGCUCAACCCCGUGAUGGCAAUGGAAACAGCUAUUCUUGAGUGCAGGAGAGGAAAGUGGAAUUCCCAGUGUAGCGGUGAAAUGCGUAGAUAUUGGGAGGAACACCAGUGGCGAAGGCGACUUUCUGGACUGUGUCCUGGACGCUGAGGCGCGAAAGCCAGGGGGAGGCGAACGGGA